rnacentral:rRNA from 1 species
AGUGAACGCUGGCGGUAGGCCUAACACAUGCAAGUCGAACGGCAGCACAGGAGAGCUUGCUCUCUAGGUGGCGAGUGGCGGACGGGUGAGGAAUACAUCGGAAUCUGCCCAGUCGUGGGGGAUAACGUAGGGAAACCUACGCUAAUACCGCAUACGACCUUCGGGUGAAAGAGGGGGAUCGCAAGACCUCUCGCGAUUGGAUGAGCCGAUGUCGGAUUAGCUAGUUAGCGGGGUAAUGGCCCACCAAGGCGACGAUCCGUAGCUGGUCUGAGAGGAUGAUCGGCCAAAUUGGACCUGAGACAGGGUCCAGCCCCCUAGGGAGGGAACCGGGGGGGAAUAUUGGAAAAUGGGGGCAAGCUUGAUCCAGCCAUACCGGGGGGGUGAAGAAGGCCUUCGGGUUGGAAAGCCGUUUUUUUGGGAAAAAAAUCUUUCAGGCUAAUACCCUGGGAGGAUGAGGGUACCCAAAGAAUAAGCACCGGUUAACUUCGU